rnacentral:rRNA from 1 species
UACGUAGGAUGCAAGCGUUGUCCGGAAUUACUGGGCGUAAAGGGCGCGCAGGCGGUGUGCCAAGGUCAGAUGUGAAAUACUCCGGCUUAACCGGAGGGGGUCGUUUGAAACUGGCAGACUAGAGUGCAACAGAGGAUAGUGGAAUUCCCGGUGUAGUGGUGAAAUGCGUAGAUAUCGGGAGGAACACCAGUGGCGAAGGCGGCUAUCUGGGUUGCAACUGACGCUGAGGCGCGAAGGCUAGGGGAGCGAACAGG